ACAUCCAGAGAAUUUAGCAGAGAUGCUUUAGUGCCUUCGGGAACUCUGAGACAGGUGCUGCAUGGCUGUCGUCAGCUCGUGUUGUGAAAGUGUUGGGUUAAGUCCCGNAACGAGCGCAACCCUUUAUCCUUUGUUGCCAGCACGUAAUGGUGGGAACUCAAAGGAGACUGCCGGUGAUAAACCGGAGGAAGGUGGGGAUGACGUCAAGUCAUCAUGGCCCUUACGAGUAGGGCUACACACGUGCUACAAUGGCGCAUACAAAGAGAAGCGACCUCGCGAGAGCAAGCGGACCUCAUAAAGUGCGUCGUAGUCCGGAUUGGAGUCUGCAACUCGACUCCAUGAAGUCGGAAUCGCUAGUAAUCGUAAAUCAGAAUGUUACGGUGAAUACGUUCCCGGGCCUUGUACACACCGCCCGUCACACCAUGGGAGUGGGUUGCAAAAGAAGUAGAUAGCUUAACCUUCGGGAGGGCGUUUACCACUUUGUGAUUCAUGACUGGGGUGAAGUCGUAACAAGGUAAGCGUAGUGCU
rnacentral:rRNA from 1 species